rnacentral:rRNA from 1 species
UACGAAGGGGGCUAGCGUUGCUCGGAAUCACUGGGCGUAAAGCGUGCGUAGGUGGUCUGUUAAGUCUGAUGUGAAAGCCCUGGGCUCAACCUGGGAAUUGCAUUGGAUACUGGCAGGCUAGAGUGCGGUAGAGGGUAGUGGAAUUCCCGGUGUAGCAGUGAAAUGCGUAGAGAUCGGGAGGAACACCAGUGGCGAAGGCGACUACCUGGACCAGCACUGACACUGAGGCACGAAAGCGUGGGGAGCAAACAGG